AUGGAUUGGAAUUAUGAUUCAUUUGAUGAAGACUACAACUAUGAUGAAGAUUCAGAUGGUCAUAUAAGGAAGAGGAAGAGCACAUUCCCAAAAUACAACACUGGAAGUGAAGUACCACAUUUUGCUUUGAGCAUGGUUUUUAGAAGCAAGAAUCAGUUGUGCAAAGCUUUGAGAAGAUAUGGACUAGUAACAAAAAGGAGCAUCUUGUUCAUGAAAUCUGAGUGUGAUAGAGUAAGGGCAAAGUGUGGACGGCCUGGCUGCCCAUGGCUUAUAUAUGCAGCCAAGAGAUCAAGAACUUCAACAUUCCAAGUGAUAACAUACAACGAUGAUCACCAAUGUGCACAGAACAGAUGCAACAAAUUGGUUACUGCAAAGGUGAUUGCACAGAGGUAUGAGCACUUCAUAUUGGCAAAUCCUAUG
rnacentral:rRNA from 1 species